rnacentral:rRNA from 1 species
GGCCCACCAAGGCGACGAUCAGUAGGGGUUCUGAGAGGAAGGUCCCCCACAUUGGAACUGAGACACGGUCCAAACUCCUACGGGAGGCAGCAGUGAGGAGUAUUGGUCAAUGGACGAGAGUCUGAACCAGCCAAGUAGCGUGCAGGAUGACGGCCCUAUGGGUUGUAAACUGCUUUUAUAAGGGAAUAAAGUGAGUCUCGUGAGACUUUUUGCAUGUACCUUAUGAAUAAGGACCGGCUAAUUCCGUGCCAGCAGCCGCGGUAAUACGGAAGGUCCGGGCGUUAUCCGGAUUUAUUGGGUUUAAAGGGAGCGUAGGCCGGAGAUUAAGCGUGUUGUGAAAUGUAGACGCUCAACGUCUGCACUGCAGCGCGAACUGGUUUCCUUGAGUACGCAC